rnacentral:lncRNA from 1 species
AUCCAUGAGAAGACACAGUGUUCCAUCCAGAGGAUGUAGCAUCAAGGCGUCAUCUUAAAAGCAGAGAAAAGACUCUUACUUGACACCAGAUGCCAGUGCAUUGAUCUUGGACUUCCCAGCCUCUAGAACUGUAAACAGCCCUGGGACAAAGAACAGACUACGGGUAUUGCCUUCUUAAUCAACAAUAAAGUAUUAGUUGGCUUCCAGGCAGACACCACUGACUUUCAAGAGAAAGGCACGGGAGUAAGGAAGUAAAGAAUUCAGGUGCUGCUUGAAAAUACAACAAACUGUCUUCAGAAUACUUUUAUGUGUUGUUGAAAGAAAGCACUGCAGCUAAUAUAGCUACAAAGGAGAAACAGUUAUUCUUAAAUGUCAUCUAUUUGCUGGACCUGAACAGGAAUUCACUAUGGAGCUCAUACAACUACCACCUUCAGCUAUUAAUCAAGGAGUCAUUCAACUGAGAAAGGGGAGAUUGAGAUGUUGAAUCAUUUCUCAUUCUGUGAAGUCUACCAGAAUAACCCAUAAAGCAAAUAUCAACCUAUUUCAAGCCAAAAUAAAUGGAUGUGAAGCAGAUUGGACUCAAAGCAUUGAAAUCAAGACUUUGGCAUUAACUAACUCUGUGUGUUUAGACAAAAUGGAAUCAUCUUGAAGAACACAGAUUAUCAGGCCUUACCCUAGAGUUUCUUACUCAGUACCUCUGGUGUGAGAGCACAAAAACUGGCCUUUAUAACAAGUCCUCAUGUGAUGCUGAUGCUGUUAGACUGGAAGCCACGCUCGUGAACCAUGGGUUUAGAUAUCACUGGGACCCUCAUGGAGCCCAUUUUCUCAGGCGUAGAAUGUGACUGAAGACCACUUACCACCAAAGAAUUUAUCUGGGAGAAGUCCUUUUUAAAAGCAUAUACAUAUUUUUUUUAAUAUGUACACAUUCUUAAAAGAAUUAUUUUCAGUUAUAAUCUAGGACCACUCCACUGAUCUGACUACUUUAUGAGAAACAUAAUCAGAUUAUUAUAACAUAUGAAGACUGUCAGUGGUACAUUCUAGUGUCACCCUGGAUAUUAUAUUAUUGAAAGUA